UCAAAAAAAAAAAAAAAAAAAAAUAUGCAUUACUAUGUUCAUUGCAGUGGUAUUUAUAAUAAUCAAAACACGGAAACAAAGUAUUCAUUGACAUAUGAAUGGAUAAAUUGUGGUGCGUGUAUAUAUACAUGAAGAAAUAUUAUUCAGCCUUAAAAAUAGUAUAUCCUGAAAUUUGCUAUAACAUGGAUGAACCAAGACAAGAGGACAUUAUGCUAAGCGAAAUAACCAGACAGAAAGAAAAUACUGCAUGACCUCCCUUGUAUGUGGACUCUUAAAAAAAAAAAAAAAAAAAAGUCAAAUCUAUAGAAAUAAGAGAAUAAAACAGUGGUCACCAGAGGAUGGCGGGGGGAAGGAAAAAGGGAGAUCAAAGGAUACAAAGUUGCAGAUAUAUAGGAUGAGUAAGUCUAGAAAUAUAAUGCAGAACACAUAAGGACUAUUAAUAGUAUUGUGUAAUACACCAACUUUAUAUAAUACAGUAUUAUAUAAUAGGUUGUUGUACCAACCUAUUAUAUUUGGGAUAUUUGCCAAGAAUAGAUUUUAUGUGCCCUUGCCACAUACACACAAAGAUGAAUGAAUACAUUAAUUUGAUUAUAGUAACCAUUUCACUAUGUAUAUCAUGUUAUACACCUUAAAUAUAUACAAUAAGAAAACUACUUUUUUGAAAUAUUGAAGACUUAAAUAGUAAAAAUAUAAUAGAAAAUAUUGUAAAUCUAAUAAAAUCCUUUAACCUUAAUACUUACUGACAUUGUUGUAUGUAGAUAAAUGACCUCCUUACUGGAAUUCUACAAGCUAAAUUUUGGUGAUGCCAUGAUCACAAACCAAGCAUGCUUCUACUUUGUUUUGGAUUUUCAUUUGCUUUAAACUCUUAAAUAGAAAACUUUUGAGAGGCUAAGGUUUAAGUAAAAUCUCAUAUAAGAGAGUCAAAAAGCUAUCAAUUAACUAGUAUUGUUAGGAAAAAAAAGUGUUAGAUUAUUCAUACAGUCUACAACUAAAAAGAUAUACAACCAGAUCUCAAAGUAGUGAGGGCAAAAAAGAAGUUAAAUAAAAUAACAUUUAAUAAAUUAUUAAUUGUAAUAUGUUGUAUUAAUGAUUACUGAUCAGAAAUAAUUAGACUAUCUAGUAAGUUAGAAAUAUUAAAACCUAAAGUAUUAAUUUUAUUUUGUGACAUCUUCAAUUUAUUUCUCUCGGCUAUUUUAUACAGAAGUAUUUGCAUUAUUUUAAAAAGGUUCUCUCAAUAUAUUACUCCUCUGAUCAUUUAUCUGACUUAUCCUUCCCAGUAUUGUUUUUACCAGUGCUUGCAUACACGUGUUCAUUCAUCUGUUGCAUCUUUUGUGUGCUGUUACAGAAUAUGUAAAAAUGAGCAAAGAUGUUAAAGAAGAUAAGCCAAAGGUAUCAAUGGUAUUAUAGAGGAUACAAAGAAUUAUGAUCGGAUAUUGAAGAGGAUGAUUUUUGUUUAGUGUCCAACAUGCCCAUUUGCUGUGCAUUUUAUUUCCAGAGAUGUUGUCAAAAACACCAGGUAAUCUAGAAAAUAAUUUGCUUACUAUGUUAUAAAACAUUAGCCUAUGACUUUAAGACCUUGAUUUUUAAUGUAGUCAAAGUUUACUGAAAGCAAUGUAUUACAUGUGUGUAAAUAAUAUGUAAAUAUAUCUUAUAUUACAUGUUCUACUGUAAACUAAGUUAAAUUUCUACACAUUGUUUAUACAUUUUUAAAAUCUCAUUCAUUUUAAGUCUCUCCACUUGAAAAGAGUUAUAUUGGUCCAUAUGGGGGGAAAAAAACCAUAUACAUCAUUCCCCAUUGUGCUGUCAUAACACUUAAGAGAUGAUUAAUGCUACAUUCUAAUCAUAUAAAGUCCUUUUCCUCCAAAUCUGUUGUAUUCACUAAAAACAGCAAUAGUAUAGACUAAAUGAUUUGAUGAUUUUCUCAUACUUACGCAGUAUGAUCUCUUUUUUCCACUGCCUGUGAAUCAGGUAUAACAUCCUGGAGUUCAUCUAAAUAAAACAAGUAUUAUUAUAUUUUCAUUUUUUUUCAUGCAGUUGGCAGUGGGAUGGGGAGUUAGUAUAGAAACGUAUAAAGGUUCACGUAUUAGGAUGAAUGGAUUGAUCGAUUUUGCGUCCUCUUAGACCCAAACUUCUGGGGAACAAAGGUUGUAUAUUUCUUUGUAACCUCAAAAAUUCCUUGCACAAAGUCAAACAAAUUCUUUGUAAAUCUUUUUCAAAUCAAUGAAAGCCAGUGGAGUUAAAGGAAAAUACAGGGAGAAGUAUGUUUUCAAAAAAAAAUGACUAAAAUUAAAUUAAACCACAAGAUACUUACCAAAA